rnacentral:rRNA from 1 species
UACGUAGGGUGCAAGCGUUGUCCGGAAUUAUUGGGCGUAAAGAGCUCGUAGGCGGUUGUGCAAGACAGAGGUGAAAUCCCCGGGCUUAACCUGGGAACGGCCUUUGUGACUGCACGGCUAGAGUGUGUCAGAGGGGGGUAGAAUUCCACGUGUAGCAGUGAAAUGCGUAGAGAUGUGGAGGAAUACCGAUGGCGAAGGCAGCCCCCUGGGAUAACACUGACGCUCAUGCACGAAAGCGUGGGGAGCAAACAGG